AUGUGCAAACCACGCGGUCCCCUGAGUUUCUUGGUCUAAAGACCACCGACAGUGCUGGGUUGCUUAAAGAAUCUGACUUUGGCUCGGAUCUUGUUAUUGCAGUUAUCGACACCGGAAUCUGGCCUGAGCGGCAAAGCUUCAAUGAUCGGAACUUGGGUCCUGUGCCAGCGAAGUGGAAAGGGAUUUGUGCAAGUGGUAAAGACUUCAGUUCAUCUUCUUGCAAUAGAAAGCUUAUAGGAGCUCGUUACUUUUGCAAUGGUUACGAAGCUACCAACGGAAAGAUGAAUGAGUCGACGGAGUACCGAUCUCCACGGGAUUCCGACGGCCAUGGCACUCACACCGCAUCCAUAGCCGCUGGCCGUUACGUAUUCCCAGCUUCAACACUUGGCUACGCCAAAGGUGUCGCAGCAGGAAUGGCACCUAAAGCUCGACUGGCCGCUUAUAAAGUAUGCUGGAAUGCCGGAUGCUACGAUUCCGAUAUCCUCGCCGCAUUUGACUCCGCCGUUAACGACGGAGUGGACGUUAUUUCUUUAAGUGUCGGCGG
rnacentral:lncRNA from 1 species